rnacentral:rRNA from 1 species
CUGGUCUCAAAUCAGGUAGGAUCACCCGCUGAACU